CUUAGCCGGUGUGUUUAUUUUUUCCAGUUGUUCUUUCAUAUUCGAUGCCAGUUGGGCAGAGUGCUGAUGGCAAAGUACACUACAAAGACACGUCUUAUAAUGGAGUAAUAACCAACGACUUUUACCGCAAGGAUGGAACUGGAAUACUUACAGAUGGCAAGUUUGGUCCUACUGACGCAAAAGAACUCUCAGGCAAAGGAUGGGUGGGCUGGUCUUCCACGCUCACUCAAUCAUCAUACAUCGCCAUCACAUUUGAGUUUUCUGAAAUGAGAAAAUUUAAAGAUAUUAUACUCACAGUAAACGUUGACAAGAAAAAUGGCAAUGCCGUAUUUGACAGAUCGCGAAUACUUUUUGCUUCGACCAAAGACGGUUUCUCUGCCAUGUCGUUUCUUCAAUACUGUCCAAAAAAAUUUUCAUACAACGAUGAUCCAUACAUUGCAAAUGUAACUUUGUCACUUUGUGACAAUACAGCAAGGUUUAUAAAGGUCCAAUUGUAUUUUGG